AGACAAUUCGCUGCAACCAUCCCAAGACCAUUCAGUGUCCGCUACAAUCCCUACACCCAGAGUGUGGAAGUCAUCAACAGUAAGCAGCAAAUUAUCAACCUGACUAAAGACAUCAAAGGUGAUCUAUCUCUAUUGGAAGAUGCUAUUGCUAAAAUUGAAUCCUAAAUACACUACUGAAGGAUAGAACUUGGAAUGUUUUACAUCAGCCAGGAAAACCAAUGACUUUACAGAGUCUAUGUUACUGAUUAACAUGCAGGACUAGAUUAGAUAUAAAAUUAUUUGCUCAUAUGUAUGGGAAUGAAAUGGAUUGAUUGAUAAGAAGUAAAUAAAAAUUAAUUAAAUUGACACAUGAAUCUGAAGCAGAGGAACACAGAAUUUUCAACAAAAAAAA
rnacentral:sRNA from 1 species